rnacentral:hammerhead_ribozyme from 1 species
AUCCAGCUGACGAGUUCCAAACAAGACGAAACGCGCAUCCUGGAU